UGCAUCCUGCUGCUUUUAAAUCUUCGUAUGUUUCUAUUUUGACAGCUGUCUCUGCCCACUAUAGUGCUACUUUGGUCUAUGUGGAGAUGGUAGAUUGCAGCAUAAACAUAAUGAUUAUCGGAAACGUAAGCACCUGAGGAAAUUCUGAAAUUAAGCCCUGUGAACUUUAAUGACGGAAAUGGCUGCUCUGACCUGGGCAACUUUGUACUUUCUGUAAAAGGCUGCUGAAAAAGUCUCAGCUGGGAACUACCCGUUUCCUGCCUCAGCCUGGCACUUCCCUUGUGAGUGGGAAACGGCUCCACGUGCCUGUCUCAAACCUGGGUUGCAGUAGUCAGUAUGGUCUUGCAGAUGCCACUUGUCAGAACUGCUCUACAGACCCGGAGACUCCUGUCCUGGGCAUGAGUGCUGCAGUCCCAGAGACCUCUUGGCUGCCCAUGAACGUCUCUCCCUGCGCCAUCAGCACAGAAAUUGUUUUUCUGUGAGUAAGAGUGGGACUGCUGCCUGGGCUGAUCAGGGGCUGAGAAAAGACCCCCUUUCCUGGAGGAGACACUGAGGGAGUGGAGUGUCUUGUAGCUGAGCUGUCUCUGGAGAGAAUGGAAACAAUUUAGGCAAAAGAAUGGAAAAAGCUGGAUUGCUUGGCCAUGAAGCGGGGCCAGGCUGAGAUAGGAUGCCACUGCCUAUUGUAUCUCCAGGCUGCAGCAUCAGGCUGAGGAUGAGAUUAAAAGAACUUUCUCUGCUUUUCCUGAUACAAGAAACACUUUCCUGAAGUGAGCAGGACCAUGGUGGAGCCAUGGGUCAAUAUUGUCUUUGAUUCUGUUGCCUCCAGAGAAGCUGAUCCUGAGCAGCGGGGACCCCCGCAAGUCCCACUGGGCAGCACCAACGCUUAUGCAACCCUGCUGCACUGUUGCAGGAAGCUGAUCCAGCCAAAAAGUAACCUAAAAAAGAAGUGAUGAGCUGUAUGAACCUGCUCCCCAGGAGGUCGCGCUAAAAGACAAGGAAAGAAAAGCGAUGGAUGAAGGCUUCUGUCAUGGAUCAGAGCUGAUACUGACCAGGAUCUCUUCUCCUUCCAAUGUGUUCACUCAGCUCCACUGCUGGAGAAAUAGUCAGGAGGAAUCCCAACAGGGUCCAGCUGUACAUCCUGAAGAAAAUUUAUAAGGCAUCCUUAUAAGGUGGAGGCAUGUGUCGUUUAAUAAUAUGAUUCAGAGAAGCAUUUCAUGCCUUUGAUUAGGGUGGUUCAGGAGAACAUCUGGAGUUGCCCACUUUUCCUGAAGUGCCUGUUUUGAUUGAUUAUGGAAGCGGAAAGGUCUUUUGUAUUCACCUGGUAGACAUCUCCUGGCCCCA